rnacentral:tRNA from 4 species
GCGGGUGUGGUUCAAUGGUAGAACGCGGGCUUCCCAAGCCUGAAGCGAGGGUUCGAUUCCCUUCACCCGCUCCA